rnacentral:rRNA from 1 species
GACGAACGCUGGCGGCGUGCUUAACACAUGCAAGUCGAACGGUAAGGCCCUUCGGGGUACACGAGUGGCGAACGGGUGAGUAACACGUGAGCAACCUGCCCCUGACUCUGGGAUAAGCGCUGGAAACGGCGUCUAAUACUGGAUAUGUGAUGUGACCGCAUGGUCUGCAUCUGGAAAGAAUUUCGGUUGGGGAUGGGCUCGCGGCCUAUCAGCUUGUUGGUGAGGUAAUGGCUCACCGAGGCGUCGACGGGUAGCCGGCCUGAGAGGGUGACCGGCCAGACUGGGACUGAGACACGGCCCAGACUCCUACGGGAGGCAGCAGUAGGGAACUUUCCACAAUGGGCGAAAGCCUGAUGGAGCAACACCGCGUGCAGGAUGAAGGCUUUCGGGUCGUAAACUGCUUUUACUAGUGACGAAUAUGACGGUAACUAGAGAAUAAGGAUCGGCUAACUACGUGCCAGCAGCCGCCGUAA